GUCUUCGUGGAGUAAUGUAACUCACUCCCGCUUACUGAAUCCGAAUGUCAGUGGCCUUCAACCCACAUGGGAGAGUCGGUGGUUCGAAUCCACCCGAAGACA